GCCAGGCAUGGUGUCUCAUGCCUGUAAUCCCAACAUUUGGGAGGCUGAGAUGGGUGGAUCACCUGAGGUCAGGAGUUUGAGACCAGCCUGGCCAACAUGGUGAAAGCCCAUCUUUA
ensembl:misc_RNA Metazoa_SRP Metazoan signal recognition particle RNA